UUCCGGUUGAUCCUGCCAGAGGCGACCGCUUUUGGAGUUCGAUUAAGCCAUGCGAGUAGAAUGAAAUUAGAUUCAUUGCAAACUGCUCAGUAACACGUGGAUAACCUGCCCUAUUGUCUGGAAUAACCUCGGGAAACUGAGAACAAGGCCGGAUAACCCACAAUGCCUGGAACGGUUUGUGGGUGAAGAUAGGAUGGGUCUGCGGCGUAUCAGGUCGUAGGGGGUGUAAUGGACCUCCUAGCCAUCGACGCGUACGGGUGUUGGGAGACAUAGCCCGGAGAUGGAUUCUGAGACACGAAUCCAGACCCUACGGGGUGCAGCAGGCGCGAAAACUUCACACUGCAGGAAACUGUGAUGAGGGAACUCCAAGUGCAUUCACUAUGUGGAUGCUUUUUUUGACUAUUAAUCGGUCAACGAAUAAGGGCUGGGAAAGACCGGUGCCAGCCGCCGCGGUAAUACCGGCAGCUCAAGUGGUCGUCGCUUUUAUUGGGCCUAAAACGUCCGUAGCCUGUUUGGUAAAUCUGUGGGUAAAUCAACCAGCUUAACUGGUUGAAUUCUGCAGAGACUGCCAGACUAGGGACCGGGAGAGGUGUGGGGUACUCUAGGGGUAGGGGUAAAAUCCUGUCAUCCUUAGAGGACCACCAGUUGCGAAGGCGCCACACUGGAACGGAUCCGACGGUCAGGGACGAAGCCUAGGGGCACGAACCGGAUUAGAUACCCGGGUAGUCCUAGGUGUAAACGCUGUGAACUUGGUGUCGGGGAUCCGCGAUGGGUCCUCGGUGCCGGAGUGAAGAUGUUAAGUUCACUGCCUGGGGAGUACGGUCGCAAGGCUGAAACUUAAAGGAAUUGGCGGGGGAGCACUGCAACGGGAGGAGCGUGCGGUUUAAUUGGACUCAACGCCGGGA
rnacentral:rRNA from 1 species